rnacentral:rRNA from 1 species
UAGUAACUGCGAGUGAAGCGGGAAAAGCUCAAAUUUAAAAUCUGGCGGUCUCCGGCCGUCCGAGUUGUAGUCUGGAGAAGCGUUUUCCGCGUCGGCCCGUGUACAAGUUUCCUGGAACGGAGCGUCAUAGAGGGUGAGAAUCCCGUCUCUGACACGGACCGCCGAUGCUUUGUGAUGCGCUCUCGAAGAGUCGAGUUGUUUGGGAAUGCAGCUCAAAAUGGGUGGUGAAUUCCAUCUAAAGCUAAAUAUUGGCGAGAGACCGAUAGCGAACAAGUACCGUGAGGGAAAGAUGAAAAGCACUUUGGAAAGAGAGUUAAACAGUACGUGAAAUUGUUGAAAGGGAAACGCUUGAAGUCAGUCGCGUCUGCCGGGACUCAGCCUUGCAAUCUUGCUUGGUGUACUUUCUGGUGGACGGGCCAGCAUCAAUUUUGGUCGCCGGACAAAGGCUGGAGAAAUGUGGCACCUUCGGGUGUGUUAUAGUCUCUGGUCGCAUACGGCGGUCGGGAUUGAGGAACUCAGCAUGCCUUUAUGGUCGGGGUUCGCCCACGUUCAUGCUUAGGAUGCUGGCGUAAUGGCUUUAAACGACCCGUCUUGAAACACGGACCAAGGAGUCUAACAUGCCCGCGAGUGUUCGGGUGGAAAACCCGUGCGCGUAAUGAAAGUGAAAGUUGGGACCUCUGUCGUGGAGGGCACCGACGCCCGGACCAGAACUUCUGUGACGGAUCUGCGGUAGAGCGUGUAUGUUGGGACCCGAAAGAUGGUGAACUAUGCCUGAAUAGGGUGAAGCCAGAGGAAACUCUGGUGGAGGCUCGUAGCGAUUCUGACGUGCAAAUCGAUCGUCAAAUUUGGGUAUAGGGGCGAAAGACUAAUCGAAC